rnacentral:rRNA from 1 species
GAUGAACGCUGGCGGCGUGCCUAAUACAUGCAAGUCGAGCGAAGCGGGGACGGUUGAGUAACACGUGGAUAAACUCCUAUAAGCAUGGGAUAACUUCGGGAAACCGGUGCUAAACCGGCUACUUAUAGAUGGAUCCGCGCUGCAUUAGCUAGUUGGUCAGGUACCGGCUUACAAAGGCAACGAUGCAUAGCCGACCUUCUAGGGGGAUCGGCCACACUGGAACUGAGACACGGUCCAGACUCCUACGGGAGGAAGCAGUAGGGAAUCUUCCGCAAUGGGCGAAAGCCUGACGGAGCAACGCCGCGUGAGUGAUGAAGGUCUUCGGAUCGUAAAACUCUGUUAUUAGGGAAGCGGUACCUAAUCAGAAAGCCACGGCUAACUACGUGCAAGCAGCCGCGGUAAUUC